rnacentral:rRNA from 1 species
CUACGGGACGCUCCAGCAAGGAAUAUUGGGCAAUGGGCGAAAGCCUGACCCAGCGACACCGCGUGGAGGAAGAAGGCCUUCGGGUUGUAAACUCCUUUUCCCGGGGAAGAAUAAUGACGGUACCCGGGGAAUAAGUCUCGGCUAACUACGUGCCAGCAGCCGCGGUAAUACGUAGGAGGCGAGCGUUAUCCGGAUUUACUGGGCGUAAAGAGGGCGUAGGCGGCUUGUCAAGUCGGACGUGAAAUCUCCCGGCUAAACUGGGAGGGUGCAUUCGAUACUGGCAGGCUGGAGUGCAGCAGAGGAAAGCGGAAUUCCCGGUGUAGUGGUGAAAUGCGUAGAUAUCGGGAAGAACACUAGUGGCGAAGGCGGCUUUCUGGGCUGUUACUGACGCUGAGGCCCGAAGGCGUGGGUAGCAAACAGGAUUAGAUACCCUAGUAGUC